CCUACCUCGUAAGAGAGAAAAAGAGCUCGGACCCUUUGGGGAUGUAUUCCUUGCAAUCCUUUUAGAUUACACUUGAUAAUUUCCUUUUCCAGCCCUCAAAUGCUUUUCCUGCCUGCAAUUCCAGGUUGUAAAAGUGAUAUCUGUUGUGAUCAAGGUUGGAUGAGCUUCAGCUGCGUCUCUGCAAAAGCAGGUAAUGCUCUUCACUGACUGUCGCUCACAGAUGCUGGAGCUGGCAGUAUCAGUAGUGCCCGGGAAGCCAAAGGAAACGGGUAAGGCUGGCAGAGGGCUCCAGCUUUAAAAAGCAAGGCCCUCAUCCUUCCCACAAGAAGCAGCACCAAAACCACCAGGAGCUAGACGCUAACCACUGAUGAAUUCAAAGCUGGGAGACCGAGCAAGAGACCGUGGGCAGCUGAUUACAUGAAUAUUCUCCGUACUAAAAAGGAAGGGAAAUGAAAGCAGCAAACAAGCUUGUUUUGGCUUUUUGUGAUCCCUGCUGGUGCAAAAGGACGCGAUGCCACCCCUGGAUUCUCCAUAAUGCAGCGUGCGCUGCCAUCAGCUAGCACAGCAAUCAUCUGCACUGUGGAUAUGGACCCCAACUUGAACACAGGGCUUGACAGUCCUGUCUCCAUGUCCAGAUCAAGUCCAUUUGGGCUAGUCGGAAGUUUCCCCAUCAGGAAAACUGAAAUGAAGUAUGUUGUUGCGGGUCAGUUUGCUGAAGGAACAGCCCCGUCGUGUUUCAGAUCAGUUCAGCGUUACACGGCAUCUCUCAAUGGUAGUGUAGCAUCUCACGGAUACUGCAGUUUGGAUGCUUUUGCCCUAUGUGCAGGGAUAAACCUGUCACAGUCUCAUCUCCAGCUCAGCAUCUUGGUGGCUCACGGGAGUAGUCGCCAGGCCAGGAAGCCCAGCUGGGGGGGAUGAACAAAAGCCGGAGGUGCCACGACACCACGGGGAGAUGCUGUCUCGUGCUGAACUGACUUGAAGCCAACACUGCUCUGAUGCAGGUUGGGACACAGAAACACAAACACCUCCGGGUUUCGGCCUGACGUUUUUGCAAGCUUCCCUUUCCAUGAGGAACGUCAACCUUUCAACUUUGUGGACUCUAUUUGGGAUGGUGGGGAGAAAAGUUGAAAUACCUGACUUUUCCCCAACAUGGGUUCAUUCUGAUUUCUGCUCAGUUCUCGUGUCCCUGCCUACAUGAUUAGAAUUGGCUCAAUUACCCGUUGCAAAUAAAUUACACGGUGAAUAACUUCUUCUUUUUCCAUUGACAAAACCCAGAAUUUUGUGAACGCGUUCGAUAAUGGUGUAACAGAGCUGGCAAAAAAAUAACUUCGUUUUGUGUCAAAAUCUGGGUUCCCCUUUACAUGACAGAGGAGAUAAAUCCACCGUGCGCCUCUUGGUUUUAUUUUAGGCUGGGAUUUUCCGAGGGAACUAAAAAAAAAGUUCCCGUUCAUGUCUCACGGAUGCUCCCCUCUGGCUGCUUGGGAAGUCCCAGAUUAAUGUGUCUUGUUCCACCACCCCCUUAUCACUUGCAGAUAACGACCGUUGGCAGGUGAAAUAUUUCAGGACUGACAGGUGAUAGAGAGCCUGGACAGUUUUAUGUUGGAAAGUUGUAGUUUCCAUGCUCAUUAUGAAGAGCAGAAGCCCGGUGGCCCUCAAGACCCAUUCUCUAGACACUGGCUAAUAGGUGGAAACAAUAUGCUGCUGAGAAGGAGCUUGACUGCCUAUUUGAGGGGUGUUGGUUGCAGCCGUGUUGGUCUAAGGACAUAGGCAGACACGGUUCUUUCAGUAAAUGUGACAGGUGAUAGAUAACCUGGACAGUUUUAUGUUGGAAAGUUGUCGUUUCCAUGCUUUAUUUUACGUGCUGGCUUCCUUUCCACCUAGGAGAGAACAUAAAGAAGCAACAAACUCUCCCCGUGCCUGAAGAAGGGCGUUUGUGCCCGAAAGCUUGCAAAGAACAAUUUUUUCCAACUAUUUAGUCGGUCUAA